CGUAGGGUGCGAGCGUUGUCCGGAAUUAUUGGGCGUAAAGAGCUCGUAGGCGGUUUGUCGCGUCGACUGUGAAAACUGGGGGCUUAACUCUCAGCUUGCAGUCGAUACGGGCAGACUUGAGUUCGGUAGGGGAGACUGGAAUUCCUGGUGUAGCGGUGAAAUGCGCAGAUAUCAGGAGGAACACCGGUGGCGAAGGCGGGUCUCUGGGCCGAUACUGACGCUGAGGAGCGAAAGCGUGGGGAGCGAACAGGAUUAGAUACCCUGGUAGUCCACGCUGUAAACGUUGGGCGCUAGGUGUGGGGAGCAUUCACGCUUUCCGUGCCGUAGCUAACGCAUUAAGCGCCCCGCCUGGGGAGUACGGCCGCAAGGCUA
rnacentral:rRNA from 1 species